UAAAACUUUCAGCGACGGAUGUCUUGGCUCCCACAACGAUGAAGAACGCAGCGAAAUGCGAUACGUCUUGCGACUUGCACAAUCCAGUGAAUCAUCAAAACUUUGAACGCAUCUUGCGC
rnacentral:rRNA from 1 species